rnacentral:rRNA from 1 species
AUUGAACGCUGGCGGCAUGCCUUACACAUGCAAGUCGAACGGCAGCACGGGUGCUUGCACCUGGUGGCGAGUGGCGAACGGGUGAGUAAUACAUCGGAACGUACCUUAUCGUGGGGGAUAACGCAGCGAAAGUUGCGCUAAUACCGCAUACGCCCUGAGGGGGAAAGCGGGGGACCGUAAGGCCUCGCGCGAUUAGAGCGGCCGAUGUCUGAUUAGCUUGUUGGUGAGGUAAAAGCUCACCAAGGCGAUGAUCAGUAGCUGGUCUGAGAGGACGAUCAGCCACACUGGGACUGAGACACGGCCCAGACUCCUACGGGAGGCAGCAGUGGGGAAUUUUGGACAAUGGGGGCAACCCUGAUCCAGCAAUGCCGCGUGAGUGAAGAAGGCCUUCGGGUUGUAAAGCUCUAUUGUCAGGGAAGAAACAGCAGAGAGAACACAGUCUGCGAAUGACGGUACCUGAAGAAUAAGCACCGGCUAACUACGUGCCAGCCGCCGCAGUAA